GACGAACGCUGGCGGCGUGCCUAAUACAUGCAAGUUGAGCGCUGAAGGUUGGUACUUGUACCAACUGGAUCAGCAGCGAACGGGUGAGUAACGCGUGGGGAAUCUGCCUUUGAGCGGGGGACAACAUUUGGAAACGAAUGCUAAUACCGCAUAAAAACUUUAAACACAAGUUUUAAGUUUGAAAGAUGCAAUUGCAUCACUCAAAGAUGAUCCCGCGUUGUAUUAGCUAGUUGGUGAGGUAAAGGCUCACCAAGGCGAUGAUACAUAGCCGACCUGAGAGGGUGAUCGGCCACAUUGGGACUGAGACACGGCCCAAACUCCUACGGGAGGCAGCAGUAGGGAAUCUUCGGCAAUGGACGAAAGUCUGACCGAGCAACGCCGCGUGAGUGAAGAAGGUUUUCGGAUCGUAAAACUCUGUUGGUAGAGAAGAACGUUGGUGAGAGUGGAAAGCUCAUCAAGUGACGGUAACUACCCAGAAAGGGACGGCUAACUACGUG
rnacentral:rRNA from 1 species